rnacentral:tRNA from 1 species
GCCCUCGUAGCUUAAUUGGAAUAAAGUACCUGGCUUCGAACUAGGUGGAUGUAGGUUCGACUCCUACCGAGGGUGCCA